UACAGAGGUCCCGAGCGUUGUUCGGAUUCACUGGGCGUAAAGGGUGCGUAGGUGGCUGGGAAAGUUUGAUGUGAAAGCUCAGGGCUUAACCCUGAAAUGGCAUUGAAUACUGCCUGGCUGGAGGUUUGGAGGGGGGACUGGAAUUCUUGGUGUAGCAGUGAAAUGCGUAGAUAUCAAGAGGAACACCAGUGGCGAAGGCGAGUCCCUGGACAACACCUGACACUGAGGCACGAAAGCCGGGGGGAGCAAACAGG
rnacentral:rRNA from 1 species